UCAAGUCAUCAUGGCCCUUACGGCCAGGGCUACACACGUGCUACAAUGGCGCGUACAGAGGGCUGCAAGCUAGCGAUAGUGAGCGAAUCCCAAAAAGCGCGUCGUAGUCCGGAUCGGAGUCUGCAACUCGACUCCGUGAAGUCGGAAUCGCUAGUAAUCGCGAAUCAGAAUGUCGCGGUGAAUACGUUCCCGGGCCUUGUACACACCGCCCGUCACACCAUGGGAGUGGGUUGCACCAGAAGUAGAUAGCUUAACCUUCGGGAGGGCGUUUACCACGGUGUGAUUCAUGACUGGGGUGAAGUCGUAACAAGGUAACCCUAGGGGAACCUGGGGUUGGAUCACCUCCUUACCUUAA
rnacentral:rRNA from 1 species